GCUGGCGGCGUGCCUAUACAUGCAAGUCGAACGAGUUCUCGUUGAUGAUCGGUGCUUGCACCGAGAUUCAACAUGGAACGAGUGGCGGACGGGUGAGUAACACGUGGGUAACCUGCCCUUAAGUGGGGGAUAACAUUUGGAAACAGAUGCUAAUACCGCAUAGAUCCAAGAACCGCAUGGUUCUUGGCUGAAAGAUGGCGUAAGCUAUCGCUUUUGGAUGGACCCGCGGCGUAUUAGCUAGUUGGUGAGGUAAUGGCUCACCAAGGCGAUGAUACGUAGCCGAACUGAGAGGUUGAUCGGCCACAUUGGGACUGAGACACGGCCCAAACUCCUACGGGAGGCAGCAGUAGGGAAUCUUCCACAAUGGACGCAAGUCUGAUGGAGCAACGCCGCGUGAGUGAAGAAGGCUUUCGGGUCGUAAAACUCUGUUGUUGGAGAAGAAUGGUCGGCAGAGUAACUGUUGUCGGCGUGACGGUAUCCAACCAGAAAGCCACGGCUAACUACGUGCCAGCAGCCGCGGUAAUACGUAGGUGGCAAGCGUUAUCCGGAUUUAUUGGGCGUAAAGCGAGCGCAGGCGGUUUUUUAAAUCUGAUGUGAAAGCCCUCGGCUUAACCGAGGAAGCGCAUCGGAAACUGGGAAACUUGAGUGCAGAAGAGGACAGUGGAAC
rnacentral:rRNA from 2 species